UUCCUACGGGGGGCAGCAGUGAGGAAUAUUGGUCAAUGGGCGCGAGCCUGAACCAGCCAAGCCGCGUGAGGGAGGACGGCCCUACGGGUUGUAAACCUCUUUUGCCGGGGAGCAACGGGCGUCACGUGUGGCGCCACUGAGAGUACCCGGAGAAAAAGCAUCGGCUAACUCCGCGCCAGCAGCCGCGGUAAUACGGAGGAUGCGAGCGUUAUCCGGAUUUAUUGGGUUUAAAGGGUGCGUAGGCGGGUUAUCAAGUCAGCGGUAAAAUCGUGGAGCUCAACUCCAUCCAGCCGUUGAAACUGAUG
rnacentral:rRNA from 1 species